CCUCCUUUUCUUCCGUCCUUCCCUCUUCCUUCCUUCCUUCCUUCUUCCCUCCUUCCUCUCAUAAUUUUCUGGGAACACCAUGGGAAGAAAAGUGUGGCUGCCACAUCCCCUGCUGCUCAAACCUCUAGGCCUUCUGUUUUGCUAGUCCUGCCUCCCCAAACUCACAGGCCUGAAGACACGACAAGAGCAAACAUUCUUCGCACCCCGAGGAGGUUGGUGACCCCGGUAAAUGGCAAGCAUGAGCAGCAGGGGUGAUUAGAGACAGAGAUGGCAUCUUGCCAUAAGAAAUUGGAGAGCCAGUAACGAUUCCGAAAAUAUCUGUGAUCUGCAUUAAGACAACUGUAUAAAUAAAGAACUAAGUGACUCGACCCUUGGAGAGCUGUUUCGAGAAAACCGUUCCUAAAAACGUAUCACAAUCCAACUGGGCCUUGAGGACCACGGUGCCAAGCCAAACUCAACGAGAAGAUGCACAAACUCAACGAGAAGAUGUUUUCCUUAGUGUGGAGUCAUCGGGGGGAUACGCCACGAACUUGGUCUAAUGAGCAAUGAAAUGCUUUGAAAAUAUUUAAGUGGAUGUGUACCGUAAAAUAACGUGGAACGGGCAUCUACAAUACCUUUUGAACUUUCCUCCUGGCUGUCCUCACACGUUUUACACAUCGGGGGUGUUGCUGAAAACUUGAGUGUGAAUCCAUAUGCUAAGUGGAAUUAGGUUUUAAGUAUUCUAGGGAUACUCCUGGCAUGGGGGAACCCCGUAUCCGUGAAGAAGCCACAGAGAAAGUCAGUACCUACACCGAUGGUCUCCGCUCUGUUUGGACGUCCCCCCCGCCCCUGCCCUCGGCUUGCGAAGAGCCUUUGAGGACACGCAUCAGCAGCGCCUUGCUCUCAUUGCUGGGUCAGGGGAGGAAAGGGCCGGUCCUGGGGAAGGGUCAAGGGCAGGCUGUUUUGUUCUCCGGCAGCAAAACAGAGCAGGCGAGAGGAAACCACCCAAGUGAUGAGCUCUGCAGAGGACAAGUGAAGCCUGAGUCUAAACACAAACGUUGAGGAGCUCAUCUCCUUGGAGCUGUUUAUAUUACAUAACUCAAAUAAACACAGCAGCGUGAGAUCGGUUCCCUUGGCGAGGGCCAGGACCACAGGGCCGAGAGGCAGACAAAGGGCGUCUCCUCCCACCCCGCUCAGAAACGGGCUUCCUUAAAACAACGACCCGACUACAGCAACACUAAUAACACACAGGGACACACCAGCAGGGUUUAGCAGGAUACCCUGAAUAAACUAGGCCAGAGCCACUCUAAUGAGGACCGGAAGGUGUCUUUCUUUUCUCCGGCUGAGCAACAGACCCUGGUCAGAGCAAGAAGAAACAAAACUGACCCUGGAAUGAUUCUUUGCAUUUGCAAAGGAGGGAAGCCAGUCACCUGCGGUGGUCCUCUCAGUACUCAGAGCCGCUGGCAAACAAGGGAGGACCACAGUGGCUACCUGCCCAGGCAUCGGAGGGGCAGCCGACCUUCUCAGACUUCAGCCCUUCGCCGCCCCGAGGCAAAACAGGGGGGUACCCCAGCCUCUGGGAAGCAUCGGGCAGUUUCCAUGGCAUCUAUGUGAAGAAGAAGUAGAAGAGGAAGAAAAAAAGAAGUUUCCAACUCGGUAAAUGAGCACAGGCGCACAGGCCCGACGUCUGAACGAAAUCAGAGAGCCUUGAAAUUGAGAGCAGGCGAGAACCUACUGAAACCUUCUUUUUCGUCAGUGGCCUGCAGUCUCCUGGGACACAAGCCCUAUCGUAUGCCAGGGGACAAGAAUAGAACCAAAAAUUGAGAACACAGCCCUUAGCACGGGCUGAUGGCAUUGGUUGCCAACAGUUGCCCCAUUAGUAGGCUAUGGGGACAUGCUAGGGAACAUUUUCUCUGCGAGGCUUGUGUUUAAAAAUAUAUCUUGCUUCAGAGCUGGCCCUAGGCGUGGCUGGGGAGUAAGAGCCUCCUUUUUCCGUGCUGAGAAGGUGCCAGUCACUCUGUGAUUCACUGCCGAUCCCUUACCCCUCUGAGCCUGCCCCUUACGUGCUGUGUGACAGUCACCCAGACCUCAACCCGGCCCGUGGCAAGUUAAUGUUUCAGACGAUUCCUGGAUGGAAGCCACGCUCCAGGAUUGCCCUCCCCCAUGAACUUGCUGGAUGCACGCAGGGCCAGGGCUGAAAGACGGUGGUCAUUACAAAGGGCUCUGACCUCUUCUCACCCUGUGCAUGUGUCCCUGGAGACAUUGCUCUCUCCAUUUCCUUAUUCCCAGACGGAGGCAACAGUUCCUGCCCACGUCCCAAGGAUGUUUAGAAGUCAUGGCUAACGGAAAUGACUGAGAAGCUCUUGGCAGAUGCCCAGUUCAGAAUCGCGUGCUGAAUGACGGCCUCCCUCACCCACCCUCUGUACCGCAUUACCUACGUGCCCUGCUCUCACCGCUCUGCUGACCGCCCUGGGGCGCGAAGCCGGUCUGCCCAGAGGUCCUGGGGUCCGCUAGAGAAGGUUCCCUUUGCGGGAACCACUGCGAUCCCCGCAUGGCCGAACUCGUAUUCCGGGUCGGAAACAACAGGUGAUAGAUGAGCUGCAAAAGGCUGAAAGGCUGCCAGCAUCCGGCCGCGGGCACCCAGGGCUUGGCAGCCCUUCCCCCAGAGGGGGUGGAAGUGAAUCAAUCGACAUGGUGGGGUCAAGUUUGAGUGUGCCUCGGCAAAACCCUGGGGACCUCCUUUCUUGAAAAACAACUGGGACAGGGUGACAGCUGUUCAAGGAUGCCAAAGAAAAGGGUCCCCCGGGGAAACCUCCCCAGGGAAGUCUCUGCCUGCAGGAGGCUGUGAGUGACACAGAAGACAGUCGGCAGGAGUGGGCACAGCCCGGCCCGGGUGAACUCUCCGGGUGGCCAGCGAUCGGAAGCACUGUGCACGUGUAAAAUCUGGCGGUAACCAGGACCGCGGUGGCAGCGGUGACAUUGACUAUCACAGACUGUGGGGCCUAUCGAACCGUAGACCGUUCUGAAGCUGUGGCCCCUGUAAGGACUUGGCUGCAAAAUGGCUACCAUAUUGGAAUCGUCACAGCUCUUUUGGCCUUUAUUGAUUUUUAUUUAUUUGAGAGAGAGAGAGAGAGAGAGAGAGCAGGAGAGGGGCAGAGAGAAAGAGAGAGAAUCCCAAGCAGGCUCCACACUCAGCAUAGACCCCAACAUGAAGCUCAACCCCACGACGGUGAAAUGACCACCCAGAGGGACCACGUGACCCUCCCCGUUUGCACAUGGGCCGCCGCCUCUGAGGCAGGCUGGGAGAAUUCCUUGUGUGGAAGUCACCGGACUUCGAUCCCCAAGACCUGGAUUUGACUCUGGGAUCAACCACUUCCUAGCAGUGUGAACUGGGCCACAGCAGCUAACCUUUCUGAGACUCAAUGGUCCCAUCGAUAAACUGGAGCAAGCGAUGCCUCACCUCGGGGAGGUGAGGGGCCGUCAGAGGAAGCACACAGCCCCAGGAGGGAUUGAUUCACAGAUGCGGCUUCGUGCCCCGCUUCCUCUCCACGGCUCCGGUGCCGAAAUCCGAGGUCACACGACAUCGCUGUCAGAACAAGUCCACGCUGCCGCCGUCCUAUCCGAGAGGCCCGCGCCGGGGCGGCCUUGGCUCCUGAGCCUGCCCUGGUGUAGGGUUCUCGGUGGCACUAUUUUUGGCAGAUUUUUUUUUUUUUUUUUUAUCCUUGCUCUUUAUCACAAGCCUGUCGGGCAACUGACAGAGGAAUUGCAAGCUUGAAUGGGCUUGUCUGACAGGCCAACUUUCAUCCCUGGUGCUGCUGCCUGACUUUGAAAAAGGAACUCUGGGCAGAAGAGAGUAAUUUCACACUGAUUCCUCGCCGUCAUUUGCUUUGGGGUUGAAAACGUCGCGUUUCAAUCAUCCCCGCUUCACGCCGCAGGGGAGAAGAAGGGCCACACGUGCAGGUGACGCGUUUGCCGCGGGCCCGCACCGAGACGACUGCCUGGCUCUGAAGCAAGAGCCCUGAGACACACGGGCAGGCACGCCAAGGAGCUCUCCACCAGCCACAAACGAGUGCCUUCAGAGGAGCCCAUAAGAAAUGGGUUCUGGCAGAAAGAGAGAGCCGCCUAGGACGUGGAGCCUCAUAUCGGACACCUCCAUCAUUCAAGAAUCCAUUAGAACGUCUUUCUCCCCCAGGCCCACGUUCCACGGAGGAGUUGGGUGGCUGUAGGCAAACCGCAAACGUAGGAGGGUCCGAGACAAGUGUGCUCAGCUCGGACAGGCGUGAGCUGGGAGAUACGGGAGGGAAGGGGAAAGUGGCGUCCAGGCCAAUGACAGCUGUAGAGGCUGUGCAUGAAGCAUCCGCCGGGGACAAGGACAGGGGCUCAUGGGGAGGUCAGGGGAUGUGGUCGUUCCCAGGUCAGCAGCAGGAAGCGGUGACUUCUCCCGCGUCAUAAACCGUCCCGUCCUUCGCCACCUCUCGCCACGCUUACUCAAGAGGCCACACUGCCUGACACCUGCUGAUUUUUCCUGGGAUGGCUUCGAAAUGGUUCACGUCCUUAAUCUUGCCCCUCAACUGGAUUGUAAGUUCUCUUACAAUCUGGAUUGUAACCCAUACCUAACCCUCUCUGCAUGCCCCGAAGCUCCUUCCUAGGGCUGAGCACAAACCAAGACUCAAUAACCGCCCGGAGUCUAUCGGAGACUUUCACACACCGCUGACAAAGAUUCAGCAGUACUGGAGGGUUUGAGCCGGGAUCAGCCAGCGUAUUUCUCAGCGAACGAAUCCAAGCUUGUUCUCAGUGGGACAUCAGGCUAUUGACGGUCUAUCCAGCCAGACUUUUGGGCCUUCUUGGCCAUGCCUCACAUGCUGUAGACUCCAGCUGUGUGGAACCGAAUGCUCUCGGCGCCUCUGUGCCUUUGCACAGGCUGAUCCCUUGGCCUGGCUGCCCUUCCCUCAUUCUUCCAUCCGUGGACUUGGCGUUUCGGCUACAGGUCAACCCGCCCCUUCCCGCAGGGCGGCCAGCAUCCCUUGGGCAGAGCUGGUGAGGCCUCCGCCUGUGGGUCCGGAGUACUUUCCAGAGGCCUGACAGGACAGGUGGCCUGGUGGCCCUGCCAUCCGGUUAAUGCUGUCUGCCUGCCCGAUCUGCCCCCUUCGUCAUCUCUCAACUUUGGCUCUCGGCGCAGUGCCUGGCACUUGGUAAAGGUUUAUCGAAUGAAUGUGUCUCCCACAUUUGGCCUAUCAUGGCGACGGCAGUCAGGGCCCAGCAGGUCAUGUGGGGACACGGCAAAAGACGUGAGACCAAACGAAUGCUUCGGAGGGAAGCAAGGCCCUGGGGCCCUCCCGAUAAGCUGGGGCACCUGGGACCAACCCCCAGCUGUGAGGUUGGGGGAAGUGACACUUGCUUUCCGGAGCCCCAGCCUCAUCUCGGGACCUCACUCCACCUUGUGGGGUUUCCAAAACGUCAUGCAACCUUCUCAUGGCCUUUAGUGACACGGCCGGACUGGGCGAUUAUUCCUGGUCUCCAGCGAUGGGUGUGGGGUGUGACCAGGCAGCAGCAGUGUGUCGGGCGGAGAGGGUGGUGUUACCCCUGGAUGCGGGGGAGGUGGCGAAGAUCGUGGACUCCAGCCUGGCCUCACACCCAGCCCCCACCUCUGCCCCGCCGUGCGACGCGGUGGGAAGGCCUCAGCUUCCCCGCGCAUAAAGGGUGAAGCAACCCCCACGGGGUCGUUCAGAAAGUCGGGCAAACGGACGCGUGUGAGCAUCGAGGGGGAUGCCCGGCACGUGACGAUGGCUCCUGAAAAGCCAGCCCCCGUCAUUUGGAACCGGAAGAUGAGUGUCACAUCUGGCUUUCUCCACUUGCAGGCUGUGGGACCUGAGCGGGUCAAGGUGUCUUACCUCUCCACUCACAUUCUCUGGUUCCUGAGAGGAGGGCGGGACUGCUGCCCUCAUUGGCUGUCUUGAGACGCAAGGAGAUAAUGGGAGGGAAUGUGCUUUGCAAGCCACGCGUCUUCCUGGGGUAGCUGUGAGUUGCCUGUGCGAAGGCAUUGAGAGGUGAGGAGACCUUGGAGAUCCUGCCACCUGAGAGCUACCCCUUAAUGGAGACAAUGACCGUCUAGUAACCAAACUUGUAAUUUCUGUAAAGCGCAUGCUUUGACAGCCACCUGGGGUUGGGGGGGGGGGGGGGAGGUCUAUUAGCGACCCGUAGGCAAAACUGUGACUCUCCCAAUGCAAAGUUCGAGUCUGAGGGUCCACUUGGCUGAGCCACGGUUCCCAGACAUGCAGUCAAACAUUAUUCUGGACGUGUCUGUGAGGGUGUAUCUGGAUGAAAUUAACAUUUAAAUCAUUGGACUCUGAUCCAAUGUCCUCUAUAAUGUGGGUGGGCCUCAUCUAAUCAGUUGAAGGCCAGAAUUGAACAAAAGCCUGACCCCCACCCCCACCCCACACACACACCCAUCCCCAUGCAAGAGGUAAUUUUGCCAGCAGACUGUCUCUGGACCUGAACUAUAGCAUUGCCUCUUCCCUGGGUCUCUAGCCGGCCAGCCUACUCAGCAGACUUUGGACUUGCCAGCCUCCAUAAUCACCAUAAUUGUGCUAAUUACCUAAAAUCUCUCUCUCUCUCUCUCUCUCUCUCUCUGUCUCUCACACACACACACACACACACACACACACACACACACACUGUUGGUUCUGUUUCUUUGAAGAACCCUAAUAUACCCAUAAACAUUUGGAGUCCUCAGAUAGCUUUAAACUAUAAACUCUAACAGCUCCAGUGAACACAGAUUUCCCAGGGAGGCCACUUUCAAACACUAGCCGAUCCUAAGCAUGACUUUGUCCUGCCUCGCCUGUUCCCUUCCAUGGAAACCACACAUGCCCCCUCCUUCUGCUCCCUGACCGCCCCCGGUGCUUACCCAGGAGACCCUGCAUGGUGUCCUGUGCUCUCUCAAGGGAACCGUGACUAUAAUAAAAUCUUUAAAAUUUCUCAGUCUCUCUCUGUCUUCACCUGCAUCUGGUCUUUCCACACCUCACCCAAGGUCAUGUGAUAAAACAGACAGUGACUGCAGCCCAGCCCUAGUGGAACCGUGGGCCAGCCUCCAGGGAUGGGCAAGUAGGUUAUUUGGCCCCGUCAUGUGAUGCCCUGCUAGAUGCCAAGGUACCACACUGUGAGAUAGUGGGCUGGCAGAGAGGCAGUCCACUUCUCAAGCAGCCUGGGCCAAAAGAAUCGUUCCUUGCAGAAAACAGCAAUCAUCAUCCUCAUAUAAACACGAUCUGGCCCUCCAGAGAGCCUGAGUGAGCCAUGUCCCCAAGUGAGAGCAAAUGUGCGUCCAGAGGAAGCGUAUUUACCUGCUCGCUCAGGACCCACAGCAGCCUCGGCGCCCUGUUCCCGUUCCUGUCUCUGUUCCUCAGGGCGUGUUCCUGAAGCAUCUGUGUCUGAGAGCUCAUUCACCUCACCUGCGGGGAGAGGAGGGCGGUGACCUCCCAGGAAAGAGUUAAAUCCCCCUGGGUGACUCAUAAAGUCACAGAAUCAUACAAUUACAGAACCUGAGAAUUUCAGAGCCUGGAAGGGAGCUAACGGGUCAUCAGGGUCCAACACCCCUCAUUUUGAGAAGGAAACAAAUAAUCCCAGCUGAAACAAAGACUCCCCACUCACCUACAGUCCCUAUUAUGGAGUCCCAAGCGAGGGCUAAUUUGACCGUGGAAUCCGAGAACAGCUUUGACCUGCAACCAGAGUUCCUUUGGUGGGAUUUCUCGCUGCCUGAGUAAUUGAUGCAAGGGUGCAUCCCCCCUCUGUCCCGGUUAAUCUGCCUAUUGUCCCCGUCCAUCUAUCCCACACCCCACUAAGAACCGAGGCAGGGACAGGAGGCACACAGCUUUGGUUUGCUCUCACUUCCUCCUCCUCCUCCCUUUUGGUUCUCCUCUCCGACUGAGGCUGAAGAUUGAAGAGUUGUGGGAGCCGGCUCAGCCCAGGGGCGGGCGCGGAAGAAAGGCCAGCAGCGGCCAGUGUCACCGUGGCAUCUUUGAAACUCUCCGAGUCGCUCACACGCCCGCGGUUGCAGGCAGGACUGCUUGACAGAGUGGAUGUUAGAAGGCACCUGAUGAAGACACCCCAAAUAAUAAGGGGCUGAAAACAAGCGCAUCUCUGGUCUUCAGGAUGUCUUCCGAUGCCAGGACCGGGGGGCCGCUGCACGGCACUGAGGACAAACGUAAAUGAACCACCGCCAUUGGGGGCCGUGCCUUCCCUAUUCCCCAUGGCCAGGAAAACUACCCACCAGGCCCCUGCUGGGGGUCACUGAGUUAAACGCGACAGCUGCUUAUGAAAGGGCCUGGGUGAAUCCACGAGAUCAGUAAUGACGCUGCUUUUUACAGGAGCUAAGAGAAGGGCAAUUAAAUCUUCCGCUUCGGGCCAUAUAAACUGAUCUCCACAGGAGGGCAAGAAUUAAUUUAACUCCAAACACACAGGCCCGCCCAAGCCCUCCGACAGCCUUGUAUAAUGGACCCAGCGCGUGGCGGGGAAGACAGAGGGAAGGCAGCAAGAUUUGUUCCAAGCACCAGGUAUUAGCCAGCACACAAAUCAGGAGCUUGAACUUGAUGGGCCUCAAGGCUGAUCCAGUGUGGCAAAUCCUGGGCUUCUUACGGCUUCUCUCCGUACUUGGUUUAUUACACACAAUCUGUACAGGGGCUGUUUCCACACUUAAUGGCAAUCCUGAAUCACUAUCUAUUUCCCAUCUUCGCCUGCAAAAUAGCAACCCAGAGCGAGUGCUGCACCAUAAAUACUGGGCCCCAUAAAGCCACUGCUGUAUAGAUUU